rnacentral:rRNA from 1 species
GCCAAACCUGUAUAGAAAAAAGAAACAAAAAAGAAACCCACCCACCCCUGCAUCUUCAACCUCACAACCCACCUACCCCGACCCGCAUGUUUCUAGCUAGACGUCACCGCCGCCGCCCCACCCCGCGCGCCGCCGCCCCCUCGUCCUCCGCCACGCCGCCGGCCCCCUCCUCCGGAGCGAGGCCACCCUCUCGUCCUCCUCCGGCACGCCGCUGCACCCGGCUCUCCCGAUGCAAGGCCACCCCCUCGUCCUCCGGUGCUCCACCGCCCCCGCCUCCUCUGGCACGAGGCCACCUGCCCACUGCUAGCCUCCUCUUUGCCUUGGGUUGGUCCCACCACCGCCAUUUGCAAGUCGCUGUCGAGACCCACGCUGUCGCCCUCGGCCACCUGCUAAGGCACCGUCAAUGGCCGUGGAUCUGAGCGCUAGCCGCUGGAUCCAGCGGUUGCUCACGGUCGUGCUGCUCCGGUGAGCCUCCGUCCGCAAGCGCGAUGGGGAAAAGGGCCUCCUGCAUGUCGUUCCUCCUCCAUCCCCCGCCCCCGAGCAUGACGCAUCCAUGACGGCCUCCUCCCACCAUCCCCUCCUCCGCAGAGGUAGGUCUCUCAGAAGUUCGGCCUGGCUAGCUGCGUUAGUUCGGUCCCGCCGCGUCCUACGCCCCUGCCCUACCUCCACCGGAGCCCCAAUCGUCGCAGAACUUGGCGCAUUCGCCGCUGCCACCUCCGACCGUUCAACUAUGCAGCCCCAAGAUGUUCGCCGCCUCAGCCAUCCGGUUCCCACUACUGUAGUGCCCGGACGAGGCCCGGGUCCUCCUUCCUGGAUCAUAAUUUUGAUUGCAUAUACUGUCCAUUGUUUUGCACCGGACUUAUUCAGAGAGAUGGUCAAUGAUUCUUGCCAUGCUGUGCUACUGCAAGUUAGGCAAGGAAAAAUGUGUAUGAAACACACUCACGCAGGUAUUUGGUUCUGAAAAAAUGGUCUGAGUUUGGCAUAGACUGCUGCUACAUUCAGUACUACAUACUCAUGAAGUAAUUGUUUUUCAUUGAGAGGCUCGUGAAGUAAUUGUUUUUCAUUGAGAGGCUCAUGAAGUAAUUGUUGUUCUCACAGAUCACACCUAAUUGGCACCUCGGUGAUCUCGGGGUCCAAGUUACGCAAGUAUUUUAGUUCAGGAAGAUUUGGUAUAGAUAAAUUUUGCACGGGUUAGUUGUGGAUGCAUCAUUUGUCUAUCAGAUUAGGAAUUGAUACUUUGCUCAUGUAUAUAUGUGAAUGAACCUUCUCUGUAUCAAAAAUAGUAUUGUGUUGUUCAUCAUAUGGUAUGCAC